rnacentral:pre_miRNA from 1 species
CGGGGGAGGCUGGAUCCUGGGCUGUGUCCCCGGCGCCCUGUGCUCGGGAGCCUGCGCUGCUGGAUUCGCACUCCCUGCGCAGCCCCCU